GGCCCAAAUAAACCUGUCUUUUCUAGAAUAAUCUAUGCAUACAUGUUAAAAUAUAAACUCGUGGGCAAUAACCCUAUCAUUAAUUUGAAAGUGACACAAGAAUAUUGUUGAUAAAGAAUGUUGUAGUGGUAGGUGGUAUAGGACAUCUUUCAACUCCAAAAGCUUGCUCACUAGAUAAGGUUUUCCAUCACACUUAUAAAGUCACUAUCAACCCCUUCCACAACCAAUGUGGGAUAACCCCAAAAAUCUCCUCCUCACACAAAGGGCUUGAAUCAAAAGCAUAGACACCUAUUCUCUCAAUUAGAUUAUUAGAUUGAGAUGUUGGUGAGCCUGAACUUUAAUAUUAGUGUUUGGUAGUCUCAAGCCUCUUUCAACCUCAAAAGUUAGGCCAAGGGGUGAGGCUUUCCCUCACACUUAUAAAGUCACUACUAACCCCUUCCACAACCGAUAUGGGAUAACCAGAACAAGUAGCAAUUAUAGUUUAUCUAAUUAGAACAAAUAGAACUUUUGAAGGAAAAAAGAAUUAAUAAAAAUACUCUCUUAUAAUGAAAACCAUAAACAAAUAGGGAUAUACUAAAUACACAUUUAUUUUUAUCUUUCUAGUUGUAUAAGAUUGAUGCAAUUUUUUUUCCUACAAAAACAAUAGUAACAGUUAAAUCUCAUAGAUAUCUUAUGUUUCACUGGUAUUAAAUAACUCUUAGAUUGUCUAAUUCACAUAAAAAUCAAUAGUAAAGCCACAUUUAAGUAAUGCACCUCUAUAGAAAUAUUAAUUUCACAUUUACGUUCCCAAUCAUAUUGGCU
rnacentral:lncRNA from 1 species